rnacentral:rRNA from 1 species
CAGGCCUAACACAUGCAAGUCGAACGGUAGCACAGAGAGCUUGCUCUCGGGUGACGAGUGGCGGACGGGUGAGUAAUGUCUGGGAAACUGCCUGAUGGAGGGGGAUAACUACUGGAAACGGUAGCUAAUACCGCAUAACGUCGCAAGACCAAAGAGGGGGACCUUCGGGCCUCUUGCCAUCGGAUGUGCCCAGAUGGGAUUAGCUAGUAGGUGGGGUAACGGCUCACCUAGGCGACGAUCCCUAGCUGGUCUGAGAGGAUGACCAGCCACACUGGAACUGAGACACGGUCCAGACUCCUACGGGAGGCAGCAGUGGGGAAUAUUGCACAAUGGGCGCAAGCCUGAUGCAGCCAUGCCGCGUGUAUGAAGAAGGCCUUCGGGUUGUAAAGUACUUUCAGCGGGGAGGAAGGCGAUAAGGUUAAUAACCUUGUCGAUUGACGUUACCCGCAGAAGAAGCACCGGCUAACUCCGUGCCAGCAGCCGCGGUAAU